rnacentral:rRNA from 1 species
CAGCAGCCGCGGUAAUACGUAGGUGGCAAGCGUUGUCCGGAAUUACUGGGCGUAAAGCGUGCGCAGGCGGUGAUGUAAGACAGUUGUGAAAUCCCCGGGCUCAACCUGGGAACUGCAUCUGUGACUGCAUCGCUGGAGUGCGGCAGAGGGGGAUGGAAUUCCGCGUGUAGCAGUGAAAUGCGUAGAUAUGCGGAGGAACACCGAUGGCGAAGGCAAUCCCCUGGGCCUGCACUGACGCUCAUGCACGAAAGCGUGGGGAGCAAACAGGAUUAGAGACCCCAGUAGUCCCUGUCUCUUAUAC